GACGAACGCUGGCGGCGUGCUUAACACAUGCAAGUCGAACGGUAAGGCCCUUCGGGGUACACGAGUGGCGAACGGGUGAGUAACACGUGGGUAAUCUGCCCUGCACUUCGGGAUAAGCCUGGGAAACUGGGUCUAAUACCGGAUAUUCAGUUCCUGCCGCAUGGUGGGGGUUGGAAAGUUUUUCGGUGCAGGAUGAGCCCGCGGCCUAUCAGCUUGUUGGUGGGGUAAUGGCCUACCAAGGCGACGACGGGUAGCCGGCCUGAGAGGGUGAUCGGCCACACUGGGACUGAGACACGGCCCAGACUCCUACGGGAGGCAGCAGUGGGGAAUAUUGCACAAUGGGCGAAAGCCUGUUGCAGCGACGCCGCGUGAGGGAUGACGGUCUUCGGAUUGUAAACCCCUUUCAGUAGGGACGAAGCGCAAGUGACGGUACCUGCAGAAGAAGCACCGGCCAACUACGUG
rnacentral:rRNA from 1 species